rnacentral:rRNA from 1 species
AUUGAACGCUGGCGGCAGGCCUAACACAUACAAGUCGAACGAGUGGCGGACGGGUGAGUAAUGUCUGGGAAACUGCCCGCUGGAGGGGGGUAACUACUGGAAACGGUAGCUAAUACCGCAUACAAUCGGAUGUGCCCAGAUGGGCUUAGCUAGUCGGUGGGGUAAACGCUAACCUGGGCUACGAUCCCUAGCUGGGCUGAGAGGAUGACCAGCCACACUGGAACUGAGACACGGUCCAGACUCCUACGGGAGGCAGCAGUGGGGAAUAUUGCACAAUGGGCGCAAGCCUGAUGCAGCCAUGCCGCGUGUAUGAAGAAGGCCGUCGGGUUGUAAAGUACUUUCAGCGAGGAGGCGUUACUCGCAGAAGAAGCACCGGCUAACUCCGUGCCAGCAGCCGCGGUAAUAC